rnacentral:rRNA from 1 species
UGCAAGUCGAACGGAAAGGCCCGCUUGCGGGUACUCGAGUGGCGAACGGGUCAGUAACACGUGGGUGAUCUGCCCUGCACUUCGGGAUAAGCCUGGGAAACUGGGUCUAAUACCGGAUAGGACCGCAUCGUAGGUGGUGUGGUGGAAAGAUUUAUCGGUGCAGGAUGAGCUCGCGGCCUAUCAGCUGGUUGGUGGGGUAAUGGCCUACCAAGGCGUCGACGGGUAGCCGGCCUGAGAGGGUGGACGGCCACAUUGGGACUGAGAUACGGCCCAGACUCCUACGGGAGGCAGCAGUGGGGAAUCUUGCACAAUGGGCGGAAGCCUGAUGCAGCGACGCCGCGUGGGGGAUGACGGCCUUCGGGUUGUAAACUCCUUUCGCCAGGGACGAAGCCGUGAGGUGACGGUACCUGGAUAAGAAGCACCGGCUAACUACGUGCCAGCAGCCGCGGUAAUACGUAGGGUGCGAGCGUUGUCCGGAAUUACUGGGCGUAAAGAGCUCGUAGGUGGUUUGUCGCGUCGUCUGUGAAAUUCCGGGGCUUAACUCCGGGCGUGCAGGCGAUAC